GUUCUCUGUGUGAUUGCUUCACUGGAUGCUGUGAUGUGCAGUUCACAGCCCUUUCCACUGUGUUGGUGACUGAGAAGUCAUUCUCUAGGUAUUUCAUUCAGUGGAAGGACGCCUCACCCAAGGUCACACCCCCUCCCAGGGGGCAGCUCUCAUCAAAAGACUGGUCCAAGCUGGAUAUAAAGGCUCGGCUGGCUUGCUGCCCAAAGAGAUUUCUGAGAAGUCCUGUUUGUAUGGAAAGAUGGAUUUACAUAAUAAAAUGCAAUUCAUAAAGAUAAUUUGAACAUAAAGUAGACUACAAGAGUGUCUUUUCUGGAGCUGGAAGAUGAAUUUGAGACCUGAGAAAUGCUUCAUCAACAAAUCCCAGAAGUCUUUUCAGCAAGUCUCAAGAGGAAAUACUCUCAUUUGAUGCAGGACUUUUCACCUAGAGAGAGAAGUGGCUGACUGUGGAAGAUGCACAAGACAGUGGCAGCAUUAAUGCAUUUACUCAAGGUUGGAGAUUUUCCAGGCAAUAAAAUAAAACAAAAGGGCAAAGGAGUGAUUGACGAUGUAAUUUAAGGUCCUGGCUUCCAGUCUCUUUCUGCUGACUCUUCUAGUCCCCUACGGAGCCCUAUUAACAAGACCUAAAUCAUGCCAUGUUGGCUCUCUCCAGAGAAAUCUCUUCAUCAAUCCCUCCAAAAUCUACCACCUAGCCUCUUUUUAUAGCCUUGAUCUUUGCAAGGCAUCUGUGAGUUACAAAACAGGCUUUCUUUGUUCUCUUAUAAGGUUUGUAUAUGAGGGUGCGUUUCUCUCAUUUACCUGGGUUUCCUACUGACAGAAAGAGUCCUUUCUAGCUUUAUUUACUGAAAGCAUUACACUUACAGUUUAUGAACUAUUUAUUAAAAAUCUCCCUAUCAUGUGGUGAUGGAUGUUAAAUGGACUUAUUGAGACCAUUUCACACUCGAAACAAAUAUGAAAUCAUUAUGUUGUACCUCUAAAACUAACAUAAUGAUAUAAAUCAAAAAAGAAUCUCCCAAAACAUACUUAACAAAUCUGU